rnacentral:lncRNA from 1 species
UUUUGUUUUUCUGUUUUUUGUUUUGUUUUUAUAAUUUCCUAUAAACACAGUAGCUAGCAUGAAAAUCAUUUUCUUCCUGCUCUUUUUCCUUCCCAAACUAAGAACUAGCAGAAGUCUUGGCCAGAGUUCCAGCAGUAACCAGAUAGUCUGGUCACUUUUUUUGUGGUUCUGCUCCUCCCUGCAACGAGUAUGAUUAACAAGACAGGAGACUGAUGAGCGGUCCCCACCGAUGUUCUCAGUCAAUUCAACUCCCAUCUUUUCCCGUAUCUUUCCUCCAUCUCUCCUUCACUCAUUUUUCUAGUUGUCCUCUGUCCAAACUUCAUUAAGGCAGAGAAACAAAUCUUGUGUGUUUGGUUUGGGUUUGCGGGUUUGUGAUCCAGACAUCUGCUGCCCUGUCCUGACUAUCACAGCUAAAUCUGAGGUACAAUAUCCAUGCAUUUGAAUCAUGUAGGAGUUAAACAAGUGACACCCACCUUCCUUUAUUCUCCAUGACUCUGCCUUUUUUGAUUUCCUUAAAUCUCAAGUUAAGGAUAUUUUUAUUUACAUUAGAAUUGAUUAUAUUACUAUAAGUGUCCAUUGUUUAUUAUUUCAUCUAUAAUUUUUUUAAAAAAGGCUGGAAUUUAGUCCUUCAUGGAUGACUUACCCUUGUGGUAAGUCUUGUGGUGCCUUCAGUUUCACAUUUUCCCCAUGUUUGUCAGAACUACAGAAAGAAGAGCUAGACCUUAAAUUCCUCAAUUUAAGUGCUCUCACCUGAGUUAUGAAAAGAUUAUGUUCUUUGUAUUAUUGCAAAUUAUCACCUACUGAUAGUAUGUGACUAUUUUUACAAUUUAGAACUCUCUAGUAUUUAAUCCAUAGAAUUUCCUACACUUAAUAUAAAAAAAAAUCAGGGAUCCCUGGGUGGCGCAGCGGUUUGGUGCCUGCCUUUGGCCAGGGCGCGAUCCUGGAGACCCGGGAUCGAAUCCCACAUCGGGCUCCCGGUGCAUGGAGCCUGCUUCUCCCUCUGCUUGUGUCUCUGCGCCCCUCUCUCUCUGUGACUAUCAUAAAUAAAUAAAAAAAAUUUAAAAAAAAAAUCAUUGAUUAUGAACCUACCAGUGUCAAAUUUCUUGCUAAAUGCUUCAUAAGAUUAGCUCAUUUGAUUCUCAUAAAUAACUCCAGGGGGUAACUCACUGUUAGCCCCAUUUUACAGAGGAGACCAAUGAGACUCAGAAAGCAGAGGUAAUUUGCCCCAAGUCAACAGAAUUUAUGGGGAAGUUAUUUGAAUUCAAAUCUAGUUUGAACAACUCUAAACCUGUGUGCUUUAUAUGACAUACAGUUUGGGAAUAUGUUUGCUUUUUAAAUUAUGAUUUUACUUAAAUUUGCAACUAAUUCUAUGACUCUUUUUAGAAUUUACAAAUAUUAUUGGAGCUUAGUGACUUCAGAAACUCACAAAUCUAAGUAAGAAUGUAGUGUAACUGUCCAUCACUCAGACACCCACUUCAAAGACAUUCAUCUGGAAUAAACAUAUUGCCAGCUGCAUGACACAGCUACUAGUAAAACAACUGAACUAGAUAAGAAACCAGGCCACUCCACCCAUGAAGUUCCCCUUAUAGAAAGCCGUGGGUGACCUAGAUAACUGACCACCAAGUGAUCCGCUUUUCCCUUCCUGUGCCCUAAUUCUUGCUCUUAUGUUUUAAAUUCACCAGUAAAGAGUAAACUCACAAAACCCUAAGCAUCCCACCCUUAACCUCAAUAAAGGCAGAACCCCAGGUUCCCUCCUCUUAUCCCUCUCCUCCCUCUUCCUCUUCCUCUACCAGUGACCUAUGUGGACCCUGAUGUGCCAGGUGUAUGCUCUAGGACUUUUAAGUAACAAAUCUUGGUUUCUCAAAAUCCCUGCUGGUUGUUGCUGAGGUGCAUUUUGCAAUCAUAAUAAGAACCACAAGGGCCAGUCUAGCCACAAGAAUGGCUCUGAAAGGGGGAAAUACCCAGGGAAGUUCACCUCAAGAAGGAGGGACCCAAGUGAGUGCCCCAGGCACUUCUAGCCUUAGACAACCCAUAAACAAAGAAGUAUCAGUUUUUUUUUUUUUUUUUUUUUUUUUUUUUUUUUGUAUUUCAGUUUCUUAGCCACAGAUUGCCUUCCAAAUAAUAACAAAAAUUUAAAAAAAAAAAA